CAGUAGCAUAUAUUAAAAUUGUUGCAGUUAAAAAGCUCAUAGUUGAAAUUCUGUACGGAUUGAGUGUCCAUGGAUGCACGAGCCGUACAUCCGUCUGAGCAGCAUGUCGCCACCUUGUGGAGAUAUGUGAUCAGACACUUUACCUUGAGCAAAUUAGAGUGUUCCAGGCAGGCGUACGCCUGAAUAGUCCAGCAUGGAAUAAUAGAAGAGGACUGAAAACCACUAUUGGUGUUGUGGUAUCAGUAAUGAUUAAUAGGGAUAGUUGGGGGCAUUCGUAUUUAAUUGUCAGAGGUGAAAUUCUAUGAUUUAUUAAAGACGAACCUAUGCGAAAGCAUUUGCCAAGGAUGUUUUCAUUAA
rnacentral:rRNA from 1 species